rnacentral:rRNA from 1 species
UAACAAGGAUUCCCCUAGUAACUGCGAGUGAAGCGGGAAAAGCUCAAAUUUGAAAUCUGGCAGUCUAUUUUUUCUUCUUUGGCUGUCCGAGUUGUAAUCUAGAGAAGUGCUUACCUGCACUGGACCAUGUAUAAGUCUCCUGGAAUGGAGCGUCACAGAGGGUGAGAAUCCCGUCUUUGACAUGGACCGCCAGUGUGUUGUGGUGUGCUCUCAAAGAGUCGAGUUGUUUGGGAAUGCAGCUCUAAAUGGGUGGUAAACUCCAUCUAAAGCUAAAUAUUGGCGAGAGACCGAUAGCGAACAAGUACCGUGAGGGAAAGAUGAAAAGGACUUUGGAAAGAGAGUUAAACAGUAUGUGAAAUUGUUGAAAGGGAAACGCUUGAAGUCAGUUAUGUCGGCUAGGGAUCAACCUAGCUCUUUUGCUGGGUGAAUUUCCUAUUCUGACAGGCCAACAUCAGUUUUGACUGCUGGAAAAGAGCAGGGGGAAUGUGGCACCUUCGGGUGUGUUAUAGCCCUUUGUCAUAUGUGGCAGUCGGGACUGAGGGAUGCAGCGUGCCGCGAGGCUGGGUUUCGACCACGUUCACGCUUAGGAUGUUGGCUUUUAAUGGCUUCAAUCGAC